CGAAAGCCUGACGGAGCAACGCCGCGUGAGGGAUGGAGGCCUUUGGGCUGUAAACCUCUUUUCUCAAGGAAGAAGAUCUGACGGUACUUGAGGAAUAAGCCACGGCUAAUUCCGUGCCAGCAGCCGCGGUAAUACGGGAGUGGCAAGCGUUAUCCGGAAUUAUUGGGCGUAAAGCGUCCGCAGGCGGCCGUUUAAGUCUGUUGUUAAAUCGUGGAGCUCAACUCCAUCACGGCAAUGGAAACUGUUCGGCUUGAGUAUGGUAGGGGCAGAGGGAAUUUCCGGUGUAGCGGUGAAAUGCGUAGAUAUCGGGAAGAACACCAGUGGCGAAAGCGCUCUGCUGGGCCAUUACUGACGCUCAUGGACGAAAGCCAGGGGAGCGAAAGGGAUUAGAUACCCCUGUAGUCCUGGCCGUAAACGAUGAACACUAGAUGUUGGGGGAAUCGACCCCCUCGGUGUCGUAGCUAACGCGUUAAGUGUUCCGCCUGGGGAGUACGCACGCAAGUGUGAAACUCAAAGGAAUUGACGGGGGCCCGCACAAGCGGUGGAGUAUGUGGUUUAAUUCGAUGCAACGCGAAGAACCUUACCAAGGCUUGACAUCCUGCGAAUCUCUAAGAAAUUAGAGAGUGCCUUCGGGAACGCAGUGACAGGUGGUGCAUGGCUGUCGUCAGCUCGUGUCGUGAGAUGUUGGGUUAAGUCCCGCAACGGGCGCAACCCACGUUUUUAGUUGCCAGCAUUCAGUUGGGCACUCUAGAAAGACUGUCGGUGACAAACCGGAGGAAGGUGUGGACGACGUCAAGUCAUCAUGCCCCUUACGCCUUGGGCUACACACGUACUACAAUGCUGCGGACAAAGAGUAGCGAUCUUGCGAAAGUUAGCUAAUCUCAUAAACCGUGGCUCAGUUCAGAUCGUAGGCUGCAACUCGCCUACGUGAAGGAGGAAUCGCUAGUAAUCGCAGGUCAGCAUACUGCGGUGAAUACGUUCCCGGGCCUUGUACACACCGCCCGUCACACCAUGGAAGUUGGCCAUGCCCGAAGUCGUAACUCUAACCUUUUGGAAGAGGGCGCCGAAGGCAGGGCUAAUGACUGGGGUGAAGUCGUAACAAGGUAGCCGUAGCGGAAGCUGCGGCUGGAUCACCUCCUAA
rnacentral:rRNA from 1 species